CGGGUGAGUAACGCGUNAGCAACCUGCCUUUCAGAGAGGGAUAACGUUUGGAAACGAACGCUAAUACCGCAUGACAUUAUCUUAUCGCAUGGUAGGAUAAUCAAAGGAGCAAUCCGCUGAAAGAUGGGCUCGCGUCCGAUUAGGUAGUUGGUGGGGUAACGGCCCACCAAGCCGACGAUCGGUAGCCGGACUGAGAGGUUGGACGGCCACAUUGGGACUGAGACACGGCCCAGACUCCUACGGGAGGCAGCAG
rnacentral:rRNA from 1 species